rnacentral:rRNA from 1 species
UACGGAGGGGACUAGCGUUGUUCGGAAUUACUGGGCGUAAAGCGCACGUAGGCGGAUUUGUAAGUCAGGGGUGAAAUCCCGGGGCUCAACCUCGGAACUGCCUUUGAUACUGCAAAUCUCGAGUCCGGAAGAGGUGAGUGGAAUUCCUAGUGUAGAGGUGAAAUUCGUAGAUAUUAGGAAGAACACCAGUGGCGAAGGCGGCUCACUGGACUGGUACUGACGCUGAGGCGCGAAAGCGUGGGGAGCAAACGGG